rnacentral:rRNA from 1 species
UACGAGCGGCCCAAACGUUAUUCGGAAUUACUGGGCUUAAAGAGUUCGUAGGCGGCGUUGCAAGUAGGGUGUGAAAGCCCUCGGCUCAACCGAGGAAUUGCGCUCUAAACUGCAGUGCUUGAGGAACCUAGAGGUGAGCAGAACAGAUGGUGGAGCGGUGAAAUGCGUUGAUAUCGUUUGGAACGCCAAUGGUGAAAACAGCUUGCUGGGAGUGUGCUGACGCUGAGACACGAAAGCCAGGGGAGCAAACGGG